UUAAGUGGCCAUACCUGUCAAUGCCCAAUCCCAACUGAUAUUGCAAGCUAAGCAUGGCCUGGGCUGGUUAGUACUUGGAAAGGAGACCACCCGAGAAGACUAGGUCAUUGUGU
rnacentral:rRNA from 1 species